CCAGCCGUUGGUCAAGAUCUAUUGACUACUACCAGCCAAGUGACCAGGCUGAAACAGAAUAUGUCUUCCCUUGUGUUGCAGCUUGAAGAGUGUCAUGUGGUCAGUCCUCGGUUCAUCACUGAUUCCAGUAUAAUUUCAAAAAUCCCUGCAUUUUAUUACAGAUACAUUUUAUGUACCCUGUGUAACUCCAUUAGUUUAUGUAAACUUACACAAACAGUUAACAUGUCUUUGCUUUUAAGAGAAAUUAUUGGACAAUAAAAUAAAUUGUCCCACUUAA